rnacentral:lncRNA from 1 species
AGCGCGCCAGGUCCAGCUGCUCAGUAGAAGAAGCCCAGCACCUUGCCACCGACACGCUUGCGGCGGGCCUCCUCGUGGUCCAUGAUGCCGGCCGAGGUGGUCAUGACAAUGAUGCCGAACUGACGAGAAGGCAGCAGGCGGGCCACCCAGCGCUCAAUCUCGGAGUGGCCGAUGUCGUAGCGGGGAGAGAUGACACCGCACUUGUUCAGGCGGCCGUUCAGCUCGACGACAAUCUUGCCCGA